UUAUUUAUUUUAUUAUNAUUUAUUUUUUGUUUAUUUAAUUAUUUAAUAGAAAUAAUUUUAUUGNAAUUUUGUCUUAGUAUAUUUUGUAGAAUUGANUUUUUUAAAUUAUAGUUUAUUGGUAAUGUAAUUGUUUUAUGAAAUAUUAUNUUUAAAUUUUUAAAAGUAUAUUUUAUUUAUUGUACCUUUUGUAUCAGGGUUUAUCAAAAUUUUAGUAUUUAAUUUACUUGUCUCGAUUUGGGUUGAUUUAUAAAUAAUUUACAGUUAAUGUAUCAUAAUUANUUAUUAAAUUAUUUAUUGAAAUGAAAUGUUAAUCGUUUCCCAAGAUAUCUAGUUUCUUAAGAAAAAUUUUAAUUUUUUAAAGUUAAUUGUUUUUAUUUAANUUUUUUAAUUAUAAAUAUUAACUUAUUUAUUCUUUAAGGGAUAAGCNNUUUGAAGUNUAAUAACCUAUAAUUUGUUUUUAUAAAAUAUAAUAGUAAGCUUUAAACCAGCUAUCUUUAAGAUUACGUUUUAGUUCAUUAUUUUCUAUUUUGAUUUUAUAAUUAUUUUAGGUUUUUUAUUAAGAUUAUUUAUUUAANUUUUAAAAUUUUUGUAAUAAUGAUAGAAUUAGUAUAUUUAUUUGUAUAUAANUUUUUACCUUGUGAAUUUAUUAUAAGGAACUAGGCAAAAUUGAUUUCCGCCUGUUUAUCAAAAACAUGUCCUCUUGNAAAAUACUUUGAGGUCUGGCCUGCUCACUGAGCGGNNNAUUUUUAAAGAGCCGCGGUAUUUUGACCGUGCAAAGGUAGCAUAAUCAUUAGUCUCUUAAUUAGUGGCUGGAAUGAAUGGCUUGACGAGAAAUCAACUGUCUCUUAAUAAAUUUUUGAAUUUAACUUUUGAGUCAAAAGGCUUAAAUUUUUCUUUAGGACGAGAAGACCCUAUAGAGCUUAACAUUUUACUUUUAUAUAGUUUUUUGUUUGUCUUUCUAUAUUUAAUGAUGAUGUUUUGUUGGGGUGACAUGAAGAAUAAAUAAACUCUUCAUUAUUAUAUCAUUUAUUUAUGUUUGUUGUUUUGAUCCAUAAUUUAUGAUCAUAAGAUUAAGUUACCUUAGGGAUAACAGCGUAAUUGUUUUUGAGAGCUCAUAUCGACAAAGCAGAUUGCGACCUCGAUGUUGGAUUAAGAAAAAUUUUGGGUGCAGUAGCCCAGUAAUUAGGUCUGUUCGACCUUUAAAUUCUUACAUGAUCUGAGUUCAGACCGGCGUGAGCCAGGUCGGUUUCUAUCCUAAGAUUNAUUAAUUCAUAUUAGUACGAAAGGACCAUAUGGUUGAAAUAUUUUUUUUAUUUUAUNUGAUUAAUAUUAAUUGGAUU
rnacentral:rRNA from 1 species